rnacentral:rRNA from 1 species
AGAGUUUGAUCCUGGCUCAGGAUGAACGCUGGCGGCGUGCUUAACACAUGCAAGUCGAACGAACCUUCGGGUUAGUGGCGGACGGGUGAGUAACGCGUGAGAAUCUGCCCUCAGGAGGGGGACAACAGCUGGAAACGGCUGCUAAUACCCCAUAUGCCGCGAGGUGAAAUGAAUUUCGCCUGAGGAUGAGCUCGCGUCUGAUUAGCUAGUUGGUGUAGGUAAUGGCUCACCAAGGCAUCGAUCAGUAGCUGGUCUGAGAGGAUGAUCAGCCACACUGGGACUGAGACACGGCCCAGACUCCUACGGGAGGCAGCAGUGGGGAAUUUUCCGCAAUGGGCGAAAGCCUGACGGAGCAACGCCGCGUGAGGGAUGAAGGCCUCUGGGCUGUAAACCUCUUUUAUCAAGGAAGAAGAUCUGACGGUACUUGAUGAAUAAGCCACGGCUAAUUCCGUGCCAGCAGCCGCGGUAAUACGGGAGUGGCAAGCGUUAUCCGGAAUUAUUGGGCGUAAAGCGUCCGCAGGCGGCCCUUCAAGUCUGCUGUUAAAAAGUGGAGCUUAACUCCAUCAUGGCAGUGGAAACUGAGGGGCUUGAGUGUGGUAGGGGCAGAGGGAAUUCCCGGUGUAGCGGUGAAAUGCGUAGAUAUCGGGAAGAACACCAGUGGCGAAGGCGCUCUGCUGGGCCAUCACUGACGCUCAUGGACGAAAGCCAGGGGAGCGAAAGGGAUUAGAUACCCCUGUAGUCCUGGCCGUAAACGAUGAACACUAGGUGUCGGGGGAAUCGACCCCCUCGGUGUCGUAGCCAACGCGUUAAGUGUUCCGCCUGGGGAGUACGCACGCGAGUGUGAAACUCAAAGGAAUUGACGGGGGCCCGCACAAGCGGUGGAGUAUGUGGUUUAAUUCGAUGCAACGCGAAGAACCUUACCAGGGUUUGACAUCCUGCGAAUCUCUUGGAAACGAGAGAGUGCCUUCGGGAACGCAGUGACAGGUGGUGCUUGGCUGUCGUCAGCUCGUGUCGUGAGAUGUUGGGUUAAGUCCCGCAACGAGCGCAACCCACGUCUUUAGUUGCCAGCAUUUAGUUGGGCACUCUAGAGAGACUGCCGGUGAUAAACCGGAGGAAGGUGUGGAUGACGUCAAGUCAUCAUGCCCCUUACAUCCUGGGCUACACACGUACUACAAUGCUACGGACAAAGGGCAGCAAGUUCGCGAGGACAAGCAAAUCCCAUAAACCGUGGCUCAGUUCAGAUCGUAGGCUGCAACUCGCCUACGUGAAGGAGGAAUCGCUAGUAAUCGCAGGUCAGCAUACUGCGGUGAAUACGUUCCCGGGCCUUGUACACACCGCCCGUCACACCAUGGAAGUUGGCCACGCCCGAAGCCGUUACUCCAACCCUUGUGGAGGAGGACGUCGAAGGUGGGGCUGAUGACUGGGGUGAAGUCGUAACAAGGUAACC